rnacentral:rRNA from 1 species
AACAGAGGAUGCAAACGUUGUUCGGAAUAACUGGGCUUAAAGGGCGCGUAGGCGGGCCGCCAAGUUCGAGGUGAAAUCCUCCGGCUCAACCGGAGAACUGCCUCGAAUACUGGAGGCCUCGAGGCGGGUAGGGGCACGCGGAACUGUGGGUGGAGCGGUGAAAUGCGUUGAUAUCCACAGGAACUCCGGUGGCGAAGGCGGCGUGCUGGACCCGAUCUGACGCUGAGGCGCGAAAGCCAGGGGAGCAAACGGG